AGCUGGCAGUUGAUGUCCUCAAUAACCGGCUAUUUAUAUCAGACAGCAAUCAUAACCGAAUAGUAGUAACUGAUCUAGAAGGGAACUUUUUAGUCCAAGUUGGAAGCACAGGAGCAGAGGGUCUUCAUGACGGUAACUUUGAUGAUGCAACAUUCAAUCGUCCGCAGGGUUUGGCUUACAAUGCAAAGAAGAACCUCUUGUAUGUGGCAGAUACUGAAAAUCAUGCUUUAAGGGUCAUUGACUUUGUGAAUGAGACAGUGCGGACGCUUGCGGGAAAUGGAACAAAAGGUUCUGAUUAUGAAGGGGGAGGAACUGGAACUGCACAGCUUCUCAACUCUCCAUGGGAU
rnacentral:misc_RNA from 1 species